GUCAAAUCACCUUGUGUGGAUCUUAUUCAGGUUUUCUGGCAGUGAACAACAUGGUGCGCUCUGUCCUCUGCCUCCUGACUGUGGCCCUGGCCUUUGUGCCUCUGCUCUCUGCUGUGGAAGUGGAUUCAGAGAAACCUGGAGUCUGUCCCAAGCCCAGGACAGACAUUCACGUA